rnacentral:rRNA from 1 species
CCNGCCCUUUGACACACGCCGGUNGUAACACACGAUAAAUGGCUGGGGAAGGCNUCGAANGGCCCCAGGAGGGUGGCAACGACCCCCCAGGGCCGGAAAAGUGGUCAAACCCCGUCAUUUAGAGGAAGUAAAGGUCGUAACAAGGUUUCCGUAGGUGNACNUGCGGGAAGGAUCAUUACCGAGUGUAGGGUUCCUAGCGAGCCCAACCUCCCACCCGUGUUUACUGUACCUUAGUUGCUUCGGCGGGCCCGCCAUUCAUGGCCGCCGGGGGCUCUCAGCCCCGGGCCCGCGCCCGCCGGAGACACCACGAACUCUGUCUGAUCUAGUGAAGUCUGAGUUGAUUGUAUCGCAAUCAGUUAAAACUUUCAACAAUGGAUCUCUUGGUUCCGGCAUCGAUGAAGAACGCAGCGAAAUGCGAUAACUAGUGUGAAUUGCAGAAUUCCGUGAAUCAUCGAGUCUUUGAACGCACAUUGCGCCCCCUGGUAUUCCGGGGGGCAUGCCUGUCCGAGCGUCAUUGCUGCCCAUCAAGCACGGCUUGUGUGUUGGGUCGUCGUCCCCUCUCCGGGGGGGACGGGCCCCAAAGGCAGCGGCGGCACCGCGUCCGAUCCUCGAGCGUAUGGGGCUUUGUCACCCGCUCUGUAGGCCCGGCCGGCGCUUGCCGAACGCAAAUCAAUCUUUAUUCCAGGUGACCUCGGAUCAGGUAG